rnacentral:misc_RNA from 1 species
UCAAACUUGGUCAUUUAGAGGAAGUAAAAGUCGUAACAAGGUUUCCGUAGGUGAACCUGCGGAAGGAUCAUUAAUGAAUAGUUUACCUCGAUGGGUUGUAGCUGGCCUCUUGAGGCAUGUGCACGCCUGUCUUGACUCUCUUCAUCCACCUGUGCACCUAUUGUAGUUCAUUGUAUUUUGAAGGUCACAAAAAAGCAAGACUCAGUUGAAACAAUACUGGAUUUGCGGAUUGCUAGUUGGCUUUCCUCUCUCUUCAGUCUUGUGAAAUUGUAUCUUCUCGAGACAUGGACUAUGUCUUUAUUAUAAACCCAUAGCAUGUUGUCAGAAUGUAUUCAAUGGCCUUUCUGUGCCUAUAAAAUCGUUAUACAACUUUCAGCAACGGAUCUCUUGGCUCUCGCAUCGAUGAAGAACGCAGC